rnacentral:rRNA from 1 species
UACGUAGGGUGCGAGCGUUAAUCGGAAUUACUGGGCGUAAAGCGUGCGUAGGCGGUUCGCUGUGUCCGAUGUGAAAGCCCCGGGCUUAACCUGGGAAUGGCAUUGGAAACUGGCGGGCUUGAGUGCGGCAGAGGGGGGUGGAAUUCCGCGUGUAGCAGUGAAAUGCGUAGAUAUCGGAAGGAACACCGGUGGCGAAAGCGGCGCGCUGGAUCUCUUCUGACGCUGAGGCGCGAAAGCCAGGGGAGCGAACGGG